UUUUCUAGCAUUUAAUUAAUUUUUCGCACAAUAGUUUCUACGCCGGAAACUAUUGUGUACCUUUUACCGGAUCUAACCUUACGUUAGAAUCUAGUUUUUUUAUUCCUUCGCUUUAUUUUUCUGCCUGAUUGAAGAACUCAAGAACAAAUCCAACCGGUCUGUGGUGGAGUGUUCAAGACUGCUAUUUAAUUAUUCAGGUUCUAUAUUUAUUUGUUGAAUUUAUAUAUGCUUGUUUUUACUAUUAAUUUAUACUGCUUGCCUGCGAUGAAUCUGUUUAUGCAUGUUAUUUAUUUAAGUCUGUUUAGCAUGUCUGGCUGAUUUAUUUAGGUAUCGGUAUGUAAAGUAAGCGUAAUGAAGGAAUCAAAACUAAGUUGGUUUAAUUAAGUUUAAAAUUAAAAUCACUCUUUUUACGGUCUCAAUUUACAGGUUUAAUAACAAAGUUUUUGUACGAAAGUAAAAGACAUAAAGAAGUUAAAAUCAAUAGAGCGAGAGUUUGAGGUUUUGACUGGACAGUGUAAAUUGGACAUUAAUUCUAGAUCAGGGCGAGA
rnacentral:lncRNA from 1 species